rnacentral:rRNA from 1 species
UCUACGGGAGGCAGCAGUAGGGAAUAUUGCACAAUGGGCGAAAGCCUGAUGCAGCAACGCCGCGUGUGUGAUGAAGGCCUUCGGGUCGUAAAGCACUUUUCUGGGAGAUGAGAAAGGACAGUAUCCCAGGAAUAAGUCUCGGCUAACUACGUGCCAGCAGCCGCGGUAAUAACGUAGGAGGCGAGCGUUAUCCGGAUUCACUGGG